GUAUAUUUGUAUAUUUGCAUAAUCUUUGUUUAUUAAUGUGUUGCAUUUAAAUGCGAUGUUUGAUUAUUUGUGUUGUGAUAUUGUUAUGCCUUGUUUGCGUGUAAUUGGGAUGAAGUGGGUCACCAUGGGUUUGUGAGGGCGGUCUUUGAUACUGUCAGCCAUGUAUGGGGAGAUCGGUAUCUCCGUGUAACAUCUGAUGAUAUGAAUUAUAUGGAAAACCACAGGGUGACCUUCUGUUGGUAUGAAAAAGAAAAGAGAUUAUGAAAAAAAUGAGAGGGCUGGUCAAGUAAGGAUUAGACUGGUCGGUUAUGUAUGGGGGAUCGGCUCCUUGGUGCAUACGUCAUGAGAGGAUGGGCUAUGUGUGAGGACAGUUCAUUGGGGGUCUCGGUGACGCCACAGACCAAUCUCCACUUAUUUGAUUACGUGAAGGUGUACUUGUAUGCGGGUGCUGAUGUUGUGCCAUUUGUUUGAUUGGACGAGUGUUCAUUUUAGUAUUUUAGGAAGCAUUUUGUGUGAAUGUCUGUGUUAUGCAAUAGUUAUUAUUCAUUAUCAAACCCACUCCUUUCUUUUUGUUUCACUUUUAUUUUUUAGGAAGUAGAUUCUCUUUUCUUUCAGCUUAAGUUCUAUUUCGUUCACCACAGAGCUAGAGAAGUAAUUUCAAAUUUAGGUAUUAUUUUAAUUAUAUUAUUUAAUGUAAGGGAAUUCAGUCUCAUCUGCAUGCAGUUUGAACUGUGCAGUUUUAGGUUGUGAAAUACUAUGUAGGAAUAGGUUAAUCGAUGAACUUAUGCUGAUGGAUUAAUCAAUUAGCCCAUAUGAUGAGUGUUGUGUGGUAUAAUUGGGGCUCAUGUUUGGAAUAUUUAUGAUAUUGUGAUUGGCCAUAAUAUAAAAUGGUUAUAUGACUUGUUGUAUACAAUAAUAUGGGCUCACUUUUUCACAAAUUUAUUUAGAUUGGGUAGACCUAGAUAUUGUAGGCUUACUACGGGUUUUGGGGACCUUAAGCUUACCUAGGCCCUAAUGUCGGGCCCAUGGAAACGGUUCGUGAAAGAUAAUUAUGGCAAAAUUGAGAGAAUGAAUAUUUAUUUUCCUUUUCUAUAAUAGAUUUUGAAAUUUUUUUUGUUUUAAAAAAAACCUUCCUAAACGUUAAAACACCUACUGUCAUCCUUUCUAUUUGUCAUGACGUAAAAGUAAAAGUUAAAACCAAAUAAAGGAGAUAAAUGAUGGCGAGGACAAGUAAAGAGAGAAACCAAAAAGGAACAUAGAAAUUAUGUCUGUCUUCAUCAUUCAAAUUCGAUUCGUUGGUCGCACUUUUCUCUCUGGACUUGAUGGCGGGAAACCAUGAAUACCGGUUUUGAGUUUGCCGUUCAAUCAGAAUCUUUAGAAUUAUCAUCAUUUAGUGAAAUCAACUAGAAAGGGAAAAGGACCUAAUAUUCUGCUUGCUCACAGAAAUCACUCUCUUUUUCUGUCUCCCUCCCUUUCUCGCUCCUCGAGAAACACCCUCCAUACUUCUUCAAAAGGGGAAAAGGGAACAACAAAGUACCUGAAACAACUGACUUCGCAAAAAUGGUAAUCUAUUCCCUACCUUUUCAGACAGGGUAUAACAGAAUCCUCAACACCUACAAAGGACUUUACUCUACCAGGUAUCUUCUGAACUCAAGCUCAAAAUAUGGCCUUGAACGUCUCCAUACUGUACAGGCAUCCCAAAAUCCUUGCCAGGAGUCAGCAACAGCAUUACCUGAUUCAUUCUUGGUGGAGAAAAUUUUGUUGAAUUUAAGGCAAGGUAAUGCAAAUUCUUUACACAACUAUCGUAUUCGCUUAAGCCCAUCAAUCAUAGCUGAGGUUUUACAUCGUUCCCGUGAUAAUCUGAAACUGGGUGUAAGAUUUAUCGAUCGUGUUGUAUUAAGUAGCAAGAAUGUUAAGCAUUCAUCAAUAUCAUUGAGCGCGAUGAUUCAUGUUUUGGUACGUAGCAGAAGACUGUCUGAUGCACAAGCUUUUAUUCUUAGGAUGAUUAGGAGAAGUGGAGCUUCAACUAUGGAGAUUGUUGAAUCCUUGAUAUCAAUGGGUAUUACUUGGGGGUUGGAUAAUUUGGUGUUUGAUUUGCUAAUUAGGACUUAUGUGCAGGCUAGGAAAUUAAAAGAAGGGACUGAUGCAUUCAGAAUUGUGAGAAGUAGAGGGGUUUUGGUUUCCAUAAAUGCUUGUAAUAGUCUUCUUGGCGGGCUAGUAAAAAUGUGUUGGGUUGAUUUGGCAUGGGAAGUGUAUGGGGAAACUAUUAGAAGUGGGAUUAGGUUGAAUGUUUAUACAUUAAAUAUUAUGGUAAAUGCAUUGUGUAAAGAUCACAAGAUUGAUAAUGUUAAGAAAUUUUUAUUGGAUAUGGAGCAAAAAGGAGUUUUUGCAGAUACUGUAACAUAUAACACUCUUGUCAAUGCAUAUUGUCGUGAAGGACUUUUAGAUGAAGCUUUUGAAGUAAUGAACUCAAUGUCAGUUAAAGGCUUGAAACCUUGUCUCUAUACAUAUAAUUCUAUCAUUAAUGGUUUAUGUAGGAAAGGAAGAUAUGCUAGAGCAAAGGGAGUUUUGAAUGAGAUGUUGAGCAUUGGGUUGUGUCCUGAUACUACUACUUAUAAUGCAUUGCUUGUUGAAAGUUGUAGAAAGGACAAUUUUUUGGAAGCUAAAGAAAUAUUUGGUGAAAUGUUGCAUCUAGGGGUUGCUUGUGAUUUAGUUAGCUUUAGUUCACUUAUUGGUGUGUUCUCAAAAAAUGGACAUAUAGAUCAGGCAUUAGCGUACUUUAGAGAUAUGAAGAAUUCUGGCUUGGUUCCAGACACUGUGAUUUACACUAUACUUAUAGAUGGGUAUUGUAGAAAUGGCAAGAUGUCUGAGGCUUUGAAGAUGAGGGAUGAAAUGUUGGAGCAGGGCUGUGUUUUAGAUGUAGUUACAUACAAUACAAUAUUAAAUGGAUUGUGCAAAGACAGGAUGCUCACAAAUGCAAAUGCACUGUUUGAUGAGAUGGUGGAAAGGGGAGUGUUUCCAGAUUUUUACACUUUUACCACACUCAUUCAUGGACAUUGCAAGGAUGGGAAUAUGAAUAGGGCACUAAGCUUAUUUGAAACAAUGACCCAGAGGAAUAUAAAACCAGACAUUGUGACAUACAACACUUUAAUUGAUGGGUUUUGCAAGGUUGGUGUAAUGGAGAAAGCAAAUGAGUUAUGGAAUGAUAUGGUCUAUAGGAAGAUGUUUCCUAAUCACAUUUCAUAUGGUAUAUUAAUAAAUGGUUACUGUAAUCUAGGAUUUGUCUCUGAGUCAUUCAGGUUGUGGGAUGAGAUGAUUGAGAAAGGCAUCAAACCUACUCUUGUGACUUGCAACACUAUAAUAAAGGGCUAUUGCCGAUCAGGUGAUGCAUCAAAAGCUGACGAAUUCUUGGGAAAGAUGGUUUCGAAAGGAGUUAUUCCUGAUAGCAUUACUUAUAACACCCUUAUUAAUGGAUUUGUUAGAGAAGAAAAUAUGGACAAAGCUUUUUUUCUGAUCGAUAAGAUGGAAAAAGAAGGUCUUUUGCCUGAUUUAAUUACGUAUAAUAUAAUUCUAAAUGGGUUUUGUCGGCAAGUUAGAAUGCAAGAGGCUGAACUGGUCUUACGGAAAAUGAUUGAGAGAGGGGUAAAUCCUGAUAGAUCAACAUAUACAGCUUUGAUAAAUGGACAUGUCUCCCAGGACAACUUGAAGGAGGCAUUUCGAUUUCAUGAUGAAAUGCUGCGGAGAGGAUUUGUCCCAGAUGACAAUUUUUGAUUUGACCCACAUACUGCAGCCUGCAAUUGUUGAUAGAACAUGUGUGAUUUAGGACUAAUUGGCAGCUCAUGAUGAAAUGAUGCAGAGGAGAUUCGUGCCAGAUGAUGAGUCUGAUUGUUUUGCUACUGCAGCUUGUAUGGCUUGUAAAAGUCAAUGGCAUUGUCUGUCAUGUGUAUGCAGUGGCGUAAUGUGGAUCACGUAUUCUAGCAUAGAUAGCGUCAACCAUGGCUUGCAAAUUAGAUUUGAAAUCAAAGGUUUUGUGCCUUCAGGAGAAUGUAACCUUAUUUGGUGGUGCCAUUUUGGACCAGGAAACUGAGGAAGCUCAUGAUGUCAACAGAUAACCAAAUUCACCUUUUCGAGCUUUGUUGAAGGACCUCUCGGUGGGAUGAGAGAAUAGGUAAUGCUAAUGCUGCAUUUUACCAAUUUGAAUAGUCUACGCUUUCACAUUCUAUCAAUGUAUGCCUAGCUGACUGUACUCGAUUAUUAUUAUUAUUUCUGUCAACAUUGGAAUUCUGGGUAGAUGAAAGCUUUAAUUAGGAAAAGUUGUUAUCUCUAGUGUUGCUUUCAUGAACUGUAGCACCUCUAUUUAUACCAUUCAACUGGGUGGGUUACUUUCUCACUAAUAGUUUUGUCAUAUGUGUCUCCUCUGUGUUGUGAAAAUCUAUCAUGUUUUAUGAAACUGAUGUGCUUUACACGUCUGUGCAUUAAGUAUUGGUUGUGGAUGAACUGAGUUCCUGGGAAGAGUAAUAUUUUUUGCAA